AUAAAGAAAAAUAGUCUUGGUGGUUUGAAAAAAAAACACAAACUCCAUUUUUACACGUAGAUCUAAGCUUCCAUUUGAGAAGCGUUACGAAGGAAAGUUACUCUCCUUUACAAGGUAGUGCUUGUGAGCUAAUUUAUUUGAGUGAGCUGUUUUGAGAUUCUUGCGCCGCUGAAGCCACUUAUCAUGUGGGUGGACUUGACCUCUAAGGAGACUGAUCCUUUUAUGGCUGACGGUGAGGAGGAAGUUACUUCAAGAAGAGAUACUGCGUCAAAAGAACUUGUGCAGUGUGUGGAGGUCACCUUUGUUACUGUAGUUGUUAGUAGAUGAUCGAAUUAGUUUUUUGUUGUAUGGGGCCUUAGUGUAUUUCUUUUGGUGGUUGUACUUAUUUUGUUUUGGGAUGAUUGUAUCUAUAACAUAUCUUGACAGUUGACUUUUGUUUGAUGGGUUCA